rnacentral:rRNA from 1 species
AUUGAACGCUAGCUACAGGCUUAACACAUGCAAGUCGAGGGGUAACGAGAGGAAAGCUUGCUUUCCUUGUCGACGACCGGCGCACGGGUGAGUAACGCGUAUCCAACCUGCCCCCGACUAAGGAAUAACCUUGCGAAAGUAAGACUAAUACCUUAUAAUUUCCUCAGAUGUCAUCUGACGAGGAAUAAAGAUUUAUCGGUUGUGGAUGGGGAUGCGUCUGAUUAGCCUGUUGGCGGGGUAACGGCCCACCAAGGCAACGAUCAGUAGGGGUUCUGAGAGGAAGGUCCCCCACAUUGGAACUGAGACACGGUCCAAACUCCUACGGGAGGCAGCAGUGAGGAAUAUUGGUCAAUGGGCGGAAGCCUGAACCAGCCAAGUAGCGUGCAGGAUGACGGCCCUAUGGGUUGUAAACUGCUUUUAUACAGGAAUAAAGUUAGCCACGUGUGGUUAUUUGUAGGUACUGUAUGAAUAAGGACCGGCUAAUUCCGUGCCAGCAGCCGCCGUAACAC